AAGAGGGGGGUCUGGUAUGGGGAGGCCUCUAACCCUGCUAUCUGACCAGACUGGGGUCAGGGGCAAGCAGCACCUGGCCAUGCAGGGAAACUGCCACCUUCAGCUCCAUCUGCCCCAGGUUCCCUAAAAUCAGACUCUGUCAUUGGCAAGUGGAGACUGUAACAGACUGGGACCCUCACAUGCUGAUAGGCAGUCAAGAAUGUUUUCUGGGGGCUGGAGAGAUGGGCUCAGCAGUUAAGAACACUGACUGCUUUUCCGGAGGUCCUGUGUUCAAAUCCCAGCAACCACAGGGUGACUCACAACCAUCUGUAAUGAGAUCUGAUGCCCUCUUCGGGACUGUCUGAAGACAGCUACAGUGUCCUUACAUAUAAUAAAUAAAUAAAUAAAUCUUUUUUUUAAA
rnacentral:lncRNA from 1 species